rnacentral:misc_RNA from 1 species
GAUGAAAACGCAGCGAAAUGCGAUAAGUAAUGUGAAUUGCAGAAUUCAGUGAAUCAUCGAAUCUUUGAACGCACAUUGCGCCCGUCAGUAUUCUGGCGGGCAUGCCUGUUCGAGCGUCAUUACGCCCCUCAAGUCCCCUGUGGACUUGGUGUUGGGGAUCGGCGAGGCUGGUUUUCCAGCACAGCCGUCCCUUAAAUUAAUUGGCGGUCUCGCCGUGGCCCUCCUCUGCGCAGUAGUAAAACACUCGCAACAGGAGCCCGGCGCGGUCCACUGCCGUAAAACCCCCCAACUUUUUAUAGUUGACCUCGAAUCAGGUAGGACUACCCGCUGAACUUAAGCAUAUCAAUAAGCGGAGGA